rnacentral:ribozyme from 14 species
GAAUAGAAAAGUUUGGACAAAGAAGAAACCUUGUUUUUUUUUGGUUGUUUUUUUGUUUUUGUUUUUUUUUGGUUGGUUUAUUGUUGUUGUCGUUGAAGGUAAUGAGUGGGAUU